rnacentral:lncRNA from 1 species
CAUAUUGAGACUCUGUUUCAAGAAACAAAACAGAAAACACCUGCUCCUGGGGCUGGGGCGAAGGGCCUCACCAUUUUAAAUCCAGCUCGAAUGUGGGUGAGGGUCCAGGGCUCCGGGUCAGGGGCUGUGGUUGCAGGGACCUUUGUCAUGCCCUGGUGCUCAACUCAUGGCAGUGCUCAGUCCAGGCCUGGCGAUGGUGCCAGCCAGCCACACCCUGGGCCCCUGCUGCACUGGCCCCCCCCCAGCCUUGGGGGAGCAGGCAGGGACCAGGAGCAGCUGGGCCGAGUGGCACGGGCGGCAAGGAGAUGUCAGGAGGCUGGACACUGUGAGCGAUGCCCCUUUCACAAUGCCAGCAGCAGGGGUGGGCAGGCACCACACAUGCCUGUAACAUGGCUCUGGCGGGCACUUGGGUGGGGACCCACGGCUCUGCGUGUGACAUGCGUGGCUCUCAGUGGAAACCAUCAGGGCAGGACAGUGGCAUCCAGGACAGCGUAGGCAGCAGGUCCUGGAACGGGCGCCUCGGGUUGGCUGUCACAACAGCAUCAAAGUGCCGCCUGUGGGGUGCUGGCCUCUGUCCAGCGUCCACUGCAGGGUGCACAGGCCACCGCUCUCGGUGUCCAGGGAGGAGUCUGCAAGCGUAGGCCUGGCACAGGCUGUGGCAGCCGUGCCCUGGUCUCAUUAAGCCAUUAGGAGGGGUAUCCAUGGAAACCGCGUGCUCAGGCACUCGGCAGAGAAGAGCAUUUAUUCUAUUAGCAGGGCUGGGUGCCAGGAGGCUUGGGCUCCUGCAGCGGCCGAGUCGGGGUUCUGGGAGAGCAAGCUGCCUGCUGGGGGCCACCACGCCCAGCCUCCACCUGCACGGUGGACGGCUCUGCAGCCUCUGCAGGUGGAGCAGCAUGACCACCUUCCCCAGCAACCCGGCCCUGGGCAUGUCUCCAGGGGAGCCGAGAGGGACACAGCUGUCCUUAUGCACAGGCUCCUCUGGGUGGGCUGUGUGGAUGCAGGCAGCUGCCAUCCAGUCCCCGUGGCACGAUGUCCCCGCCUCCUGCAGGGCCGGGCCCGCCCUAACAUCAGCCGCUCCUUCCGGGAGCUCGGGCUCCUGCGGUGAGAAACACUGCGGAAAACAGGGUCGGCGGCCUUUCUGCAGGCACCAGGCACGCUGUCACAUGAGCCCAGACGGCACUGACUGCAGCUUCUGGGUGGCUUCUCCCAGCCCCACACAGGCAGAAGCACACAUGGGGUGAGCCUGCCCCUCCCAUCCAGCCCAGACUGCUGUGUGGCAAAGCGGGUCCCUGGACUACCUGGACCACUUACAUCUCCUCUUCAUUUCUGCGGUGGCUCUGAACCUCGUGUGGGAUAUGACUGGUCCCAGAUUUCCCUCUCCUGUGCUCACCCCUUUGAUUUAAUUUACUGUAAAGCACUGAGCAGCUUCUGCGCUGGGUGCGGGCAGGGAGCAUCCCCUACCGCCCCCUCACCGGCCUCCCUGGGGGGGGCCUGGUGGCUUUCGGGGUGGCUUCCUGUGGGCCUACUUUGGAAGGUGGCCAGGCCUGUGCACACCUGGUCCCCUGCCUCACCAACAGACGACACCCGCAUGUGCACACGUGCCCUCAGUCUCCUCCUGGGACACAUCCCUGACAUCAUGGAGAAAACAAGCACAGGAUGGGACCCAGGCCCCCAGCAGGGCCCCAAGGUGGCCUGAGACCCAGGAAGAGGGGCCCAGCGCCCCCACUCGAGGGAGUCGCAGACAGAGCCCCCACGCUGCAUGCCAGCCAUCGGGAACCUGCCUGGCGGGACAAGGCCGCUCUCGCUGUGGGGUUUUCCUUUCCCUACUUUUGAAUGUUCUUUGUGUGUUAGGGACCUUCCCCUUCCACCUGAGUCACGGUUCCAAAUGUUUUCUCCCAGG